GACGAACGCUGGCGGCGUGCUUAACACAUGCAAGUCGAACGGAAAGGCCCUGCUUUUGUGGGGUGCUCGAGUGGCGAACGGGUGAGUAACACGUGAGUAACCUGCCCUUGACUUUGGGAUAACUUCAGGAAACUGGGGCUAAUACCGGAUAGGAGCUCCUGCUGCAUGGUGGGGGUUGGAAAGUUUCGGCGGUUGGGGAUGGACUCGCGGCUUAUCAGCUUGUUGGUGGGGUAGUGGCUUACCAAGGCUUUGACGGGUAGCCGGCCUGGGAGGGUGACCGGCCACAUGGGGACUGAGAGACGGAGCAGACUCGUAUGGGAGGCAGCAGUGGGGAAUAUUGCACAGUGGGCGGAAGCCUGAUGCGGCAGCGCCGCGUGCGGGAUGACGGCCUGCGGGUUGUAAACCGCUUUCGCCUGUGACGAAGCGUGAGUGACGGUAAUGGGUAAAGAAGCACCGGCUAACUACGUG
rnacentral:rRNA from 1 species